rnacentral:rRNA from 1 species
GACGAACGCUGGCGGCGUGCUUAACACAUGCAAGUCGAACGGAAAGGCCCUGCUUUUGUGGGGUGCUCGAGUGGCGAACGGGUGAGUAACACGUGAGUAACCUGCCCUUGACUUUGGGAUAACUUCAGGAAACUGGGGCUAAUACCGGAUAGGAGCUCCUGCUGCAUGGUGGGGGUUGGAAAGUUUCGGCGGUUGGGGAUGGACUCGCGGCUUAUCAGCUUGUUGGUGGGGUAGUGGCUUACCAAGGCUUUGACGGGUAGCCGGCCUGAGAGGGUGACCGGCCACAUUGGGACUGAGAUACGGCCCAGACUCCUACGGGAGGCAGCAGUGGGGAAUAUUGCACAAUGGGCGGAAGCCUGAUGCAGCAACGCCGCGUGCGGGAUGACGGCCUUCGGGUUGUAAACCGCUUUCGCCUGUGACGAAGCGUGAGUGACGGUAAUGGGUAAAGAAGCACCGGCUAACUACGUGCCAGCAGCCGCGGUGAUACGUAGGGUGCGAGCGUUGUCCGGAUUUAUUGGGCGUAAAGGGCUCGUAGGUGGUUGAUCGCGUCGGAAGUGUAAUCUUGGGGCUUAACCCUGAGCGUGCCUUCGAUACGGGUUGACUUGAGGAAGGUAGGGGAGAAUGGAAUUCCUGGUGGAGCGGUGGAAUGCGCAGAUAUCAGGAGGAACACCAGUGGCGAAGGCGGUUCUCUGGGCCUUUCCUGACGCUGAGGAGCGAAAGCGUGGGGAGCGAACAGGCUUAGAUACCCUGGUAGUCCACGCUGUAAACGGUGGGUACUAGGUGUGGGGUCCAUUCCACGGGUUCCGUGCCGUAGCUAACGCUUUAAGUACCCCGCCUGGGGAGUACGGCCGCAAGGCUAAAACUCAAAGGAAUUGACGGGGCCCCGCACAAGCGGCGGAGCAUGCGGAUUAAUUCGAUGCAACGCGUAGAACCUUACCAGGGUUUGACAUGGAUCGGGAGUGCUCAGAGAUGGGUGUGCCUCUUUUGGGGUCGGUUCACAGGUGGUGCACGCCUGUCGUCAGCUCGUGUCGUGAGAUGUUGGGUUAAGUCCCGCAACGAGCGCAACCCUUGUUCACUGUUGCCAGCACGUUAUGGUGGGGACUCAGUGGAGACCGCCGGGGUCAACUCGGAGGAAGGUGGGGAUGACGUCAAGUCCUCAUGCCCCUUAUGUCCAGGGCUUCACGCAUGCUACAAUGGCUGGUACAGAGAGUGGCGAGCCUGUGAGGGUGAGCGAAUCUCGGAAAGCCGGUCUCAGUUCGGAUUGGGGUCUGCAACUCGACCUCAUGAAGUCGGAGUCGCUAGUAAUCGCAGAUCAGCAACGCUGCGGUGAAUACGUUCCCGGG